AUCACAGCACAAGUAAGGCGGAUGGCGGACUCCUGGCACCUCUUAUGUUUAUAUUCCGCUGUAUGCGUGCAAUAUUAAGUGAUCUGCAUCCCCUUGACGCUGAACGGUGAGCUUGAGAGUCGGUGGGGCAGCACAGGACGAGAGGACAGCGGGACUCCUUAUCACGGAAAAAGAACAGAUAACAAAGAAAACAAAAUCGUGUUGCCUUCCCCUGGGUGGUGCAGUGGGGCGAGGCGGAGUGGUGUACACGAUGCCACAAGUAUUUACUAGUGCCUCCUCCGCUGCCCUGGCCUGGUAUUGGGGGCGCCGUGUCUCUGCAGCUGCCUAACUGGCCAGCUGACGCACCUUGAUGUCUCCAGGGCCGCGGUGAAGCAUGUGAGGAGACAAGGUGUGACGCGACUUACCUGUGACGUUGAUUGGGCCAAGGUGACGCCAGUGAGUAUGUCCUUGUUUUUGUGU